rnacentral:tRNA from 1 species
ACCUGGAUGGCUCAGUUGGUUGAGUGUCUGACUUCGGCUCAGGUCAUGAUCUCGCAGUUUGUGGGUUUGAUCCCCACAUUAGGGC